CUAGUCCUUGGUCACAAAGUGCAGCGUAUCGGCUGGCUGAGGGCCGCACCUUCUUUGGCUUGGUUGUCUGAGGUGGUUGUUGCCACUGAGCUAUAGAUCAAGAAGGAAAGAAGAAAUGUUAGGCAUCUCAAGCUGUGCAACAAAGCGUGCCAGAUGCACAGUCAACUCUUUGUAAAGGAGAUACUAACUUCUGAGCAGCAGAAAACCAUUAUAUCAAAGUCAGGUCUCCAGGAGCCUGCAGAAAAUGAGGCCGGAAGAAUCGUUCCUGAAUUGGUUCAUUUUCAUCACCACUGUCCCUUGAUCGAGAUCGUGGUCUUAAAAUAACAUGAAAUAAAGAAAAUAACAGCAGCUAAAAGCUAACUCAGCUCCACUGAGAAGAGACUUUUCACAUCGGACUUAUUUUUCAUCUUCUCUUGUUCUGCAUUACUGAAGACCAUGCAGAAAAUUCUGUGGAUUGAAGGGCUGUGGAUAUUUAUUCCUCAUUUAACAGAUUUUUUUUGUUUUGAGAUAUUCUUGAACAUUUUCAAAGCCACCAAAUUGUGGUGUCAAAAUAAUAGGAAUUUCUUUUGUGAGCAAUAGGAAGAAAAACUUUGGUCGUUAAAUUGCUCUUCAUACAGGUACGGUAAAAAGUUUAAUAAAAAACAAAAAUAGGGAAAAAUAACUCCUAUCCCCAGAAACAGUAUCAAUCACCUUAAGCUUCCACAAUAUAGUUUAAUCCAUUUUCAGGAUUGGCCUGUUAAUUUAAUCUAUCGAAUCUUUUUCUAGAUGGUUCCUCAUUUAACGGGAUUUUUUUCCAAAUGAAAUUAGCAUUAUUACAUUUGUGUGACUUAGUAAUCAAAGAAACUUGUUACUGAAACAGAAUUUUAGGCCAAUUUUUGUCCUUGCCUGAUCAGCUCCAGUGGAUUCCCUUCUGGAGCCAGCUGCUGCCUGCAGUAACAUCCUGUUGCAGUGAAGAGGAGCUAUGCAAAUAUCCUCCAAGAUAACUUUUAUCAAUGACACUUUACAGUGAAAUUCUCUUUUCUGAAUUCCAUUUUCUGUUAACUUUUGCCAGUGUUUCUGUUUUGGCCAGUGUCUGCAGUAGACGUGCGGUACUGUGUUAGACGUGGCUAUACUGUGUUUUCUACUGCCCAGGGGUGUUUCUUUAGGUUAAAAUAAUUCAUAACAAAAAAAGCUUCAAACCCCCAGCAGUUAUUUGGAAAACAAGAUGCUGUACUGCUGUAUGGAAGAUAAACACUCUAGCUGCACACUGUUCCACUGAGGUAAAGUUUAAUUAGAGUUGCUUGAACUUGGUUUACUUUGUCCUUCUCUGUUGUUGCUCUUCUCUCUGUUAUUGCUCUGUUUGCAUUCUGACCAGUCAUCACUUUUGCUACAGUAUUAUCUGUCAUAAAUAGAUGAAUUUUGACUUUUAAUGAUCAUCACAGGCUUCCCACAGCUAUAGCUAAAGGCAAAUGUGUUGAGGGAAAUCUAGCCCCUACUGCUUAUUAACGUAGGAAUGGAUACUGCAAUGUGGAACACAGACUGACAUCUUUGCACGCGCUAAAAGCUCGUAACUCUUCAGGUGCCUAAAUCCAGGUCUUAGGCACCUAAUAUUUUUUGCCACUCAAAUGUGCCUAAAGCUACUUCAAUAGCUCCUGCAUUACAGCUCAUAAGCAACGCUGAGCUCUCGUUGGUGAGUUUCUAACCAAUUUUGCCAACAUACCUGCCUUGUAUGCAUGUAGCUGGGAAGGAAGACGGAUGGUAGUAAAGAAAAACUAUACUCGUAUCUUUUGGUAAUUAGUUCUGCAAGACCAACUAGAAAUGAUGGUAUCUAGUCAAGUGAGUGCUACUCAGUGCAAGCAACCCAAGCAAAAUCUGCCUUCACAGUAUUUAUAUGCAUCCUGUUUAGAUUCUGUUGAUAAGAUGCCAAUAAAGUACAGGUAACUAGUGCUUCUUAAUGUCUUGCAAGGCUGAGCCAAGCAGGUUAACUAGCACCACAGAAGUGUGAAAGUCCUGAAAGCCACCAUCUCACUGCUCCAGCUGCAUAAAAAGGCAGCACUGGUCAAAACUGGGGAAAAAAAAAUUUACACCAAAUGAAACAGAAAACACAAAAGACUAGGAGUUUGAGAUUUUUUUCCUGCUAGUAUGUUCUUGAAUUGUGAAAACUAAGUUUUCAAAUUACACAUUUGAAAGGAAACCUAAAUCAGCAUGCUGUUUAGAGUCAGAAACAAAUAAUGCAUUUCUUUCUACCUCUUUGUAAAUUUAUCUCUAAAAUUGCAGACUACUUUUUAAGCCUUUACCUUGAGAGGUGAAACUAGGGUUGUUUUAAUUCUGAAACAUUUUGUGGUUUUAAAGAAAUAAUGAAAUGAGGAGAGCUAGGUACUUCAGAUGUCUAGGAAUGACAAAUUGCAAUAGACUGCAAUACCCUUGGAUUAGUUGUGGGUUCUUUAGAGUUGUGAUGUGGGCAUCAAAUUGCAAAGAUUAGUUUCAGCAACACUGACAUCAUGUACUAAGUGUGUCCAGGGGAGACUCCAUGGGUUGGCGUGGCGCAAUGUGCUAGGAAUUUCAGCGAGCGAGAAGCUGGGGAAGACUUUAUGACUGACCAUAUGAUAAUGAUCACUAAUUGGGGAUAAAGGAGAUGAAGUUCAAAUUAAUCCUCUAAUUGAGAGCAGGGACAACAGGAAUAGUUCUUUCUAAAAUCUUUCUUAAUCUCAUGCAUUUUAAGAUGAUUUAUUCAGGACUCUGGCUGCAGUGCACGGCAAGACAGCUUAGGUGCUACAGUGUUGAGCACCAUGACGUCUAAGGGAUUGAGCCCAAGCUUUGUACACGUCAGACAAUUCAAACGUCUUGCCCCUGCCCCCCGGCCAUGUAAUGCUAAGACGGUAAUGUUUGCAAGUUAAGCAAAUUGCAGAAAAAUACAUUAAAAAUGAAAUAACUACAGUGUUUUAAAAUGUCUGUGACGUAGUGAAGAUGACAAAAAACAGAGUUCUGUAAGAGAUUAAAAAUACUGCAGGAAAAAGCCAGUCGACAGUGUAACAAGUCAUAAAGUUCAUUGAGCUAAUAAUUACACUUGUAAAAAAAAAAAAAAAAGUUUUGUUGCUCUCAAGCAGAAAAGCUUAUAGAAAUAAUAUUGUAAUGCCACGGGAGUAUUACUUACCAAAAGUAUAUGGCAAUAUAUGUGACAAAUACUAUAGUAUAUGGGGGAGCACAAUAGUGUGGUACGUUAUGUUAGAAAAGCCGAUGGUGGGAAUCUGUCCUGGGAAGGUUUUACGUGCUCACAUUUCAUCAGUCUCAGGGAGAACGGGGUGAUGGGACUAAUGGGAAAUGUCACUGAACAGAAAUAGUAUUGUGCUGAAUGCUUAGCAGAAACAGACCUUCUGUAAGUAAAGGUAUGAGGAUGAGCCCUUCACAUAUGGUAAUUUUACAGGAAAUAAAAAUCUGCAAUAAUUGCCCUAAUAUUAAUUAAACUGCUGUAUGGAAAUCACUUAUUUAUAAUUCAUUACUCUACUGGACACCCAACCAAAACAAUAGUGGCUGCCCAAGUGUUUGUCUCAAUUAGAAGAUAAAAUACCAGCCAUAAGUGGCCUCGGACUUCAAUUGCAUUUGGAGAGAUUGAAAAAUGAGCCUCCCCCAUUACUGCCCAAGGGUUCUGCCAGUCACACAGAGAGAGACACCCGCAUUUUAUCCUUCAGAAAGAUGCAGAAGUGUCAGCUGCUCGCCACUCUCUUACCCAUACCUAUCUUCCUUUCUCCCAUCCCCAUUUUAAAAGAUGUUUCCUCUUUCUCACCCAGCAUGCAAUGACUAAGCUGAAACCUGACUCUUCAUGGCAACUUUUCCCUUCAGGGAUUAACGGUCAAUUUUCCUUUUUACCCAUUAUUUGCAGGUGUCAAGUGCCUUAUUUCUUGGACAGGGUACGCCAAACAGACCCAGAUUUUUUGGGCUGUUCUCACAAUGCAGUGAUAGCAGGAUAUUCUCCUCCAUAAGAAGUCUGAGCUUUGGGCUUAACAGGCCUAAAGGUGAAGCAUUAGAGGGGGAGCUGGUAGGACACCUCAGCGAAACGUUGGGAAAUGCUUUCAGGACUGUGGGAAGCCCAGUUUGUUCCAUGCAAGAGUAAGACUGAUAAGAUCUUCUAAACAACCAACCCCGCUUCCUAAUACUUCCUAGUUACCAGAGGGGGUAAGACAGCCUGUUUUGCAUGCAGGAGUUCUACAGUACAUACUACUACCACUACUAAUUGUUACAGGAAUCAUUUCUUUAUUGCACAUUGACUAUAUGUAUGUACGUUUUUUCUACAUAUUACAGUUAGGCAAUAUUGAGAGUCUAUGGCCAUUGUGACCAUUAAGCAAAACAUGUGCCUCAUCACAGCAGAAACCAGACCCCUCAU